AGCGAACGCUGGCGGCAGGCCUAACACAUGCAAGUCGAACGAAGUCUUCGGACUUAGUGGCGGACGGGUGAGUAACACGUGGGAACGUACCUUUUGGUUCGGAACAACUCAGGGAAACUUGAGCUAAUACCGGAUGAGCCCUUAGGGGGAAAGAUUUAUCGCCGAAAGAGCGGCCCGCGUUAGAUUAGCUAGUAGGUGAGGUAAAGGCUCACCAAGGCUACGAUCUAUAGCUGGUCUGAGAGGAUGAUCAGCCACACUGGGACUGAGACACGGCCCAGACUCCUACGGGAGGCAGCAGUGGGGAAUCUUGCGCAAUGGGCGAAAGCCUGACGCAGCCAUGCCGCGUGAAUGAUGAAGGUCUUAGGAUUGUAAAAUUCUUUUACCAGGGACGAUAAUGACGGUACCUGGAGAAAAAGCCCCGGCUAACUUCGUGCCAGCCGCCGCAGUAAGAC
rnacentral:rRNA from 1 species